AACGAGGCCGACCUGCGGCUGAGUUACCUGCGGAGGGAUCAUUACUGAGUGUAACCCUUUUUUAGAGGGUGCCUCCCGUCCUUUGCAGGCCCUUAGGGGCUUUUUGACUUUGCUUCGGCGGGGUUCCCCCGCCGGAACACCCUCAAGAAAAUCUUAAUUAAAACCGUUCAGUCCGAGGGCUUUUGCAAAUAAAUUAAAACUUUCAACAACGGAUCU
rnacentral:misc_RNA from 1 species